GACGAACGUUGGCGGCGUGCUUAACACAUGCAAGUCGAACGGAAAGGCCCUGCUUUUGUGGGGUGCUCGAGUGGCGAACGGGUGAGUAACACGUGAGUAACCUGCCCUUGACUUUGGGAUAACUUCAGGAAACUGGGGCUAAUACCGGAUAGGAGCUCCUGCUGCAUGGUGGGGGUUGGAAAGUUUCGGCGGUUGGGGAUGGGCUCGCGGCUUAUCAGCUUGUUGGUGGGGUAGUGGCUUACCAAGGCUUUGACGGGUAGCCGGCCUGAGAGGGUGACCGGCCACAUUGGGACUGAGAUACGGCCCAGACUCCUACGGGAGGCAGCAGUGGGGAAUAUUGCACAAUGGGCGGAAGCCUGAUGCAGCAACGCCGCGUGCGGGAUGACGGCCUUCGGGUUGUAAACCGCUUUCGCCUGUGACGAAGCGUGAGUGACGGUAAUGGGUAAAGAAGCACCGGCUAACUACGUG
rnacentral:rRNA from 1 species